GAUGAACGCUGACAGAAUGCUUAACACAUGCAAGUCUACUUGAAUUUGGGUUUUUUAACUUAGAUUUGGGUGGCGGACGGGUGAGUAACGCGUAAAGAACUUGCCUCACAGUUAGGGACAACAUUUGGAAACGAAUGCUAAUACCUGAUAUUAUGAAUAUAUGGCAUCAUAUAUUUAUGAAAGCUAUAAGCGCUGUGAGAGAGCUUUGCGUCCCAUUAGCUAGUUGGAGAGGUAACGGCUCACCAAGGCGAUGAUGGGUAGCCGGCCUGAGAGGGUGAACGGCCACAAGGGGACUGAGACACGGCCCUUACUCCUACGGGAGGCAGCAGUGGGGAAUAUUGGACAAUGGACCAAGAGUCUGAUCCAGCAAUUCUGUGUGCACGAUGACGUUUUUCGGAAUGUAAAGUGCUUUCAGUUGGGAAGAAAAAAAUGACGGUACCAACAGAAGAAGUGACGGCUAAAUACGUG
rnacentral:rRNA from 1 species